UACGGGGGGAGCAAGCGUUGUUCGGAUUUACUGGGCGUAAAGGGCGCGUAGGCGGCCACCGCAAGUCGACUGUGAAAUCUCCGGGCUUAACCCGGAAAGGUCAGCCGAUACUGCGGGGCUAGAGUGCAGAAGGGGCAACUGGAAUUCUCGGUGUAGCGGUGAAAUGCGUAGAUAUCGAGAGGAACACCUGCGGCGAAGGCGGGUUGCUAGGCUGACACUGACGCUGAGGCGCGAAAGCUAGGGGAGCGAACGGG
rnacentral:rRNA from 1 species